rnacentral:lncRNA from 1 species
AUGUUCGUAACCCUGCAGCAAUCUGACCAUUACCUUAACACUCAUCAGAAUGAACAUGAGACCCAGAUUCUCAAAGGCAUGCAAGAUUCUGGUAAAUUGAAUUCAGUGGUUUUUUUCUCAGGUUUCUCCAGCUGUUUAUCUGUCUUCUACUCAUUUCAGUUAAAUCAGGGUGAGGUGGGAAAAAGGGAAUUGUGGUUGCAUCAGGCUAGUCUGGUGGAGCCCCCCAGCCCCUCACAGCAGCUCUGCAAACCAGCUCCUUCUUGUUUACUCAGUGAUUGCUCCUGCCCUCAUUUUCCAGCGAGGAGGAAGGGAAAAGGAAAGAUUAUUCUCUAAGAAGAAGCAAGACCAAGGCUGCCAAAUGGAACAGCUCAAGCUGAGCUCUUUAGCCCCACAUCUGCAAAGAUAGGCAACUUUUUUUGUCCUUACAGAAACUAUGGCGAUGGUGACAGAGAAAUUUCAAGUUUUACAUAAGGACAAUGGGGCAAGGAGUCCAAAACCAUUGAGAAGAAGAGACCAGUUUACUUUUAAAGCAAAUGCACCCUGAAUAGCUCUGCAGAUCUUCAUCUAGACUCACAUUGGCACUGAGAAAAGACAGUGUGUAUUUUCAGAGGCAGCAUUCUGGAAGUGCAAGGUAGAGAUCAAGAAGUAUGUGAAGGGAUUUUUGGAUUACCUUUGUGCUUCUAAAUAAAUGAGGGUCACACGGAUCA